rnacentral:rRNA from 1 species
AUUGAACGCUGGCGGCAGGCCUAACACAUGCACGUCGAACGAGUGGCGGACGGGUGAGUAAUGUCUGGGAAACUGCCCGCUGGAGGGGGCUAACUACUGGAAACGGUAGCUAAUACCGCGUACCAUAGGAUGUGCACAGAUGGGAUUAGCUUGUAGGUGAGUGAACGGCUCACCUAGGCGACGAUCCCUAGCUGGUCUGAUAGGAUGACCAGCCACACUGGAACUGAGACACGGUCCAGAUUCCUACGGGAGGCAGCAGUGGGGAAUAUUGCACAAUGGGCGCAAGACUGAUGCAGCCAUGCCGCGUGUAUGAAGAAGGCCUGCGGGUUGUAAAGUACUUUCAGCGGGGAGGCGUUACCCGCAGAAGAAGCCCCGGCUAACUCCGUGCCAGCAGCCGCGGUAAUAC